CAAGAAUGCUACUUUCAAAUUCCAGAAUUAAAGGAACUACUCACUCAUGGUGAGUUUACCAAACAUAAUGUAAUGAAAAUAAGAGAGCACAAAACUAAUAUGAAGAAUUAGAACAAAAGAACCGAGAGAAAGAUUCUACAGCUUUGAACUUGUGGAACUUUGGCUAAAAAAUCUCUUCCUUGGUGCGGAUGUAAUCCUCCUUCAAGACGGCUUGGGAACUAGGGUUUUCUGGAAGUCUUCUCUUAAAGGUUUUCCCUUUUCUCUUUUUUCCUCUCUUCCUUUUCAAAAGAAAAUUAAUCCCCCCCCCCCUCCUUUCUUAUGCUCUUUACUUGCUCUUAUUUAUAUUAGGUGUCCUAGGG
rnacentral:misc_RNA from 1 species